rnacentral:rRNA from 2 species
GAGCAACGCCGCGUGAGUGAAGAAGGUUUUCGGAUCGUAAAACUCUGUUGUAAGGGAAGAACACGUACGAGAGUAACUGCUCGUACCUUGACGGUACCUUAUUAGAAAGCCACGGCUAACUACGUGCCAGCAGCCGCGGUAAUACGUAGGUGGCAAGCGUUGUCCGGAAUUAUUGGGCGUAAAGCGCGCGCAGGCGGUUCUUUAAGUCUGAUGUGAAAGCCCACGGCUCAACCGUGGAGGGUCAUUGGAAACUGGAGAACUUGAGUACAGAAGAGGAAAGCGGAAUUCCACGUGUAGCGGUGAAAUGCGUAGAGAUGUGGAGGAACACCAGUGGCGAAGGCGGCUUUCUGGUCUGUAACUGACGCUGAGGCGCGAAAGCGUGGGGAGCAAACAGGAUUAGAUACCCUGGUAGUCCACGCCGUAACGAUGAGUGCUAAGUGUUAGGGGGUUU